CAGUCGCCGCGGUAAUACGUAGGGUGCGAGCGUUAAUCGGAAUUACUGGGCGUAAAGCGUGCGCAGGCGGUUUUGUAAGACAGGCGUGAAAUCCCCGGGCUCAACCUGGGAAUGGCGCUUGUGACUGCAAAGCUAGAGUACGGCAGAGGGGGAUGGAAUUCCGCGUGUAGCAGUGAAAUGCGUAGAUAUGCGGAGGAACACCGAUGGCGAAGGCAAUCCCCUGGGCCUGCACUGACGCUCAUGCACGAAAGCGUGGGGAGCAAACAGGAUUAGAUACCCGUGUAGUCCCUGUCUCUUAUAA
rnacentral:rRNA from 1 species